rnacentral:rRNA from 1 species
GAAACCGCGAACGGCUCAUUAAAUCAGCUAUGAUCUACUUGAUUUUGACGCUAAUUCUACUUGGAUAAGCUGUGGUAAUUCUAGAGCUAAUACAUGCACAAAAGCUUUGACCUCGACGGAAAAAGCGCAUUUAUUAGAGCAAAACCAGGCGGCUUCGGUCGUUUUUUGCUGACUCAGAAUAACUCAGCUGAUCGCACGGUCUCGUACCGGCGACGUGUCUUUUGAGUAUCUGCCUUAUCAAUUUUCGAUGGUAGUGUAUCUGACUACCAUGGUUUUGACGGGUAACGGAGAAUAAGGGUUCGACUCCGGAGAAGGGGCCUGAGAAAUGGCCACUACGUCUAAGGAUGGCAGCAGGCGCGCAAAUUACCCACUCUCGGAAUGAGGAGGUAGUGACGAGAAAUAACGAGACCGUUCUCUUUGAGGCCGGUUAUCGGAAUGGGUACAUGUAAACGCUUUAACGAGUAUCUAUGAGAGGGCAAGUCUGGCGCCCAGCAGCCGCNNNNNNNNNNNNNNNNNNNNNNNNNNNNNNUUGUUGCGGUUAAAAAGCUCGUAGUUGAAUCUAGGCCUGAGGCCUGGUCCACUCAUUGAGUGCGUACUAGGCUCUUUGGCUUUUUCGUCGGUUUUCUUGUCGUGGCCUUUGUUGGUGGCGGCAAGUGGCUGGCAAUUUUACUUUGAACAAAUCAGAGUGCUUAAAACAGGCGUUUCGCUUGUAUGCUUUUGCAUGGAAUAAUAGAAUAUGACUUCGGUUUAGUUUUAUUGGUUUUAUAGAUCGUUGUAAUGAUUAAAAGAGACAAACGGGGGCAUUCGUAUUGUUGCGUGAGAGGUGAAAUUCGUGGACCGCAGCAAGACGACCAACAGCGAAAGCAUUUGCCAAGCUUGUCUUCAUUAAUCAAGAACGAAAGUCAGAGGAUCGAAGGUGAUCAGAUACCGCCCUAGUUCUGACCGUAAACGAUGCCAACUAGCGAUUCGCCGGCGGAUUUGUUGCCCUGGCGAGGAGCUUCCCGGAAACGAAAGUCUUCCGGUUCCGGGGGAAGUAUGGUUGCAAAGCUGAAACUUAAAGGAAUUGACGGAAGGGCACCACCAGGAGUGGAGCCUGCGGCUUAAUUUGACUCAACACGGGAAAACUCACCCGGCCCGGACACCAUGAGGAUUGACAGAUUGAUAGCUCUUUCAUGAUUUGGUGGAUGGUGGUGCAUGGCCGUUCUUAGUUCGUGGAGUGAUUUGUCUGGUUUAUUCCGAUAACGAGCGAGACUCUAGCCUACUAAAUAGUCCGCGCAUUGCUCUUGUGCUGCGGUACUUCCUAGAGGAAUUUUCGGUGUUUAACCGCAUGAAAUUGAGCAAUAACAGGUCUGUGAUGCCCUUAGAUGUCCGGGGCUGCACGCGCGCUACACUGGUAAAGUCAGCGUGCAUUUCCUUUCUCGAAAGAGAUUGGUAAACCGGUGAACGUUUGCCGUGAUAGGGAUCGGAAAUUGCAAUUAUUUUCUGUGAACGAGGAAUUCCAAGUAAAUGUGAGUCAUCAACUCGCGUUGAUUACGUCCCUGCCCUUUGUACACACCGCCCGUCGCUGCCCGGGACUGAGCCAUUUCGAGAAAACUGGGGAUUACUGAUUGAUGGUCUUUCGGGAUUGUCUUUCGGUGAAAAUCAGUUUAAUCGUAGUGGCUUGAACCGGGCAAAAGUCGUAACAAGGUGGCUGUAGGUGAACCUGCUGCCGGAUCAUUAUCGAU